rnacentral:tRNA from 1 species
UCCGCGGUAGCUCAGUCGGUAGAGCGUCCGACUGUUAAUCGGAUGGUCGCAGGUUCGAGUCCUGCCCGCGGAG